rnacentral:rRNA from 1 species
GUCGAACGAUGAUGCCCAGCUUGCUGGGUGGAUUAGUGGCGAACGGGUGAGUAACACGUGAGUAACCUGCCCCUGACUCUGGGAUAAGCGUUGGAAACGACGUCUAAUACUGGAUAUGACUGCCGGCCGCAUGGUCUGGUGGUGGAAAGAUUUUUUGGUUGGGGAUGGACUCGCGGCCUAUCAGCUUGUUGGUGAGGUAAUGGCUCACCAAGGCGACGACGGGUAGCCGGCCUGAGAGGGUGACCGGCCACACUGGGACUGAGACACGGCCCAGACUCCUACGGGAGGCAGCAGUGGGGAAUAUUGCACAAUGGGCGAAAGCCUGAUGCAGCAACGCCGCGUGAGGGAUGACGGCCUUCGGGUUGUAAACCUCUUUUAGUAGGGAAGAAGCGAAAGUGACGGUACCUGCAGAAAAAGCACCGGCUAACUACGUGCCAGCAGCCGCGGUAAUACGUAGGGUGCAAGCGUUGUCCGGAAUUAUUGGGCGUAAAGAGCUCGUAGGCGGUUUGUCGCGUCUGCUGUGAAAUCCCGAGGCUCAACCUCGGGCUUGCAGUGGGUACGGGCAGACUAGAGUGCGGUAGGGGAGAUUGGAAUUCCUGGUGUAGCGGUGGAAUGCGCAGAUAUCAGGAGGAACACCGAUGGCGAAGGCAGAUCUCUGGGCCGUAACUGACGCUGAGGAGCGAAAGCAUGGGGAGCGAACAGGAUUAGAUACCCUGGUAGUCCAUGCCGUAAACGUUGGGCGCUAGAUGUAGGGACCUUUCCACGGUUUCUGUGUCGUAGCUAACGCAUUAAGCGCCCCGCCUGGGGAGUACGGCCGCAAGGCUAAAACUCAAAGGAAUUGACGGGGGCCCGCACAAGCGGCGGAGCAUGCGGAUUAAUUCGAUGCAACGCGAAGAACCUUACCAAGGCUUGACAUACACCGGAAACGGCCAGAGAUGGUCGCCCCCUUGUGGUCGGUGUACAGGUGGUGCAUGGUUGUCGUCAGCUCGUGUCGUGAGAUGUUGGGUUAAGUCCCGCAACGAGCGCAACCCUCGUUCUAUGUUGCCAGCGCGUUAUGGCGGGGACUCAUAGGAGACUGCCGGGGUCAACUCGGAGGAAGGUGGGGAUGACGUCAAAUCAUCAUGCCCCU